rnacentral:lncRNA from 1 species
UGGAAGCCGUCUUAUCGUAAGGCGGAUAAUAGGAUUGCUGAGUGGUUGUUGGCUGGUAGGGCCCAUUGGAAUCAUAGGGAGGGAAAGAAGGUUGAGGAGGUUGCGGUGGCGAGUUAAAGGAAGAUUGCAAACUAUUAGGGUUCGGAGCUGCUGUCGUAGCCGGAGGAGGAGGAGGGGGAGGAGACGGCGGCAGUGGAUUGUAUGAGGGAGCUGUGGGAGGAGGGACGGAAUAGGGAUUUUGAGUAUAGGGAGGGUAAUUGGGGGGAUAACCGGG